rnacentral:rRNA from 1 species
CCGAAAGGGAGACGUGCCCGCAAGGGAGCCGAGAGACAGGUGGUGCAUGGCUGUCGUCAGCUCGUGCCGUGAGGUGUUGGGUUAAGUCCCGCAACGAGCGCAACCCUCACCCCUUGUUGCUACCAGGUAAAGCUGGGCACUCUAGGGGAACUGCCCCGGUCAACGGGGAGGAAGGCGGGGAUGACGUCAAGUCAUCAUGCCCCUUACGUCCUGGACUACACACGUGCUACAAUGGCCGGCACAAAGGGAUGCCACACCGUGAGGUAGAGCUAAACCCAAAAAGCCGGUCUAAGUUCAGAUUGGAGUCUGCAACUCGACUCCAUGAAGGAGGAAUCGCUAGUAAUCGCGUAUCAGCACGACGCGGUGAAUACGUUCCCGGGCCUUGUACACACCGCCCGUCACACCACGAAAGCCAG